AUUGAACGCUGGCGGCAGGCCUAACACAUGCAAGUCGAACGAGUGGCGGACGGGUGAGUAAUGUCUGGGAAACUGCCUGAUGGAGGGGGAUAACUACUGGAAACGGUAGCUAAUACCGCAUACCAUCAGAUGUGCCCAGAUGGGAUUAGCUUGUUGGUGGGGUAAAGGCUCACCUAGGCGACGAUCCCUAGCUGGUCUGAGAGGAUGACCAGCCACACGGGAACGGAGACACGGUCCAGACUCCUACGGGAGGCAGCAGUGGGGAAUAUUGGACAAGGGGCGCAAGCCUGAUCCAGCCAUGCCGCGUGUGUGAAGAAGGCCUUCGGAUUGUAAAGUACUUUAAGCGGGGAGGCGUUACCAGCAGAAGAAGCACCGGCUAACUCCGUGCCAGCAGCCGCGGUAAUAC
rnacentral:rRNA from 1 species